CACGUAGGGGGCGAGCGUUGUCCGGAAUCAUUGGGCGUAAAGAGCUCGUAGGCGGCUCAGUAAGUCGGGUGUGAAACCCUCAGGCUCAACCUGGGGACGCCACCCGAUACUGCUGUGGCUAGAGUCCAGUAGGGGAGUGUGGAAUUCCCGGUGUAGCGGUGAAAUGCGCAGAUAUCGGGAAGAACACCUGUGGCGAAGGCGGCUCUCUGGGACGGUACUGACGCUGAGACGCGAAAGCGUGGGGAGCAAACAGG
rnacentral:rRNA from 1 species